UUUUGUGGAAUUUUUCUUAUAAAUACGAUGGAAGGUCAAGUUAAUUUCAAAAAUAAUUACAGAAUUUUUUGAAUUUUUUUGAAUUACUAUUUUUUCUCAUAUAGGGUGGAGAUACACCCAGCAACCAAACGUCCGCGUCCGUUAUUAUUAGGGAAACAUUGCGAGCCGGUUGACCGGCCGAAACUCCGCCGGUCACGUCAACGUGCCCACUCACACACCGCUUUAGCUUUCCUUAUCAUGUCCACAUGCGCUUCCCAUCCAUUCAUUUCUCCACCGCUGAGUGCCUGAGUCUCAUCUUAUCCCCUCGCCCAGCUUUCUUUCCCCAGGCUCUCAACUAAAUCUUGCCAUGGCCGCCGGCGACUCGAUCCGCCUCGUGUGGAUCAACGGCGCGGGAUGCACACCCUCUCCAUGGCCGCUCGCAGCCACGGGCGCACUCGUCGCCUUGUCCGCCUCCGCCAGCAGCUGCAUGUGCGCCCUCUCCAUGGCCGCCGCAGCCAGGGUGCGCCAGUCGCCAUGGCCAAGCUGCAACCGGCCACGGCGGCGGCGAGUUCAUGCUGGAACCGAGGGGGUUUGCUGGAACCAGCUGUUACAUGUGCUACAAGGUCCAUGCCUCCCCGGCGGAAGCUACAUCCAGCGGUGAAGAGUGCUGCAUCCAACGCCGUCGAUGUCGGGAGCUGCAACCGUGCAUGUCGGAGCUGCGACCGACUACUAGGGGAGCUGCAAGAGGGGAGGCCAUUUUUUUGCGGAUGCGUUUUCCUUUAGCCGAACCAAUUUCGUUUUUGCUGGAACCGAUGUAUUUUUUUGCUGGAACCGAGAUAUUUUUUUGCUUCAAUGAUUGCAGAGCUCCUAAAUGUUCAUGUCGUUUUUGCUGGAACCUAAGUUUGUUUGUGCUGGAAGCGUUUUUGAUUUUUGCUUCAACCGAACACUGGACUUUGACCCGCGGAGAAGAUUUUUGCUGGAAGAUUUUUGCUGCUUCCGAUUUUUUUUGCUGGGCACUCUGACCCCGGCGAGCGGGAGACGCAGAGAUGCUACAACUAGCCACCCGAGCGCUAUCAUCACAGCAAAUUGUUCUGCUACCACCAUCUUUUUUUAACUGAAAACAACUCCAAUUUUUUGCUUUCACCAUGUUCUGUUUUUGUUGGAUUCAGCUAUAUUUUUGCUUCCACGACGGCGACCGGCGGCCGGCGGCGACGAUGGCGACCGGCGGCCGGCAGCGACAACGGCGACCGGCAGGGAGGGCAGCAACAGGCGAGUGCGUCGGGCAGUGCUUCAAGGCCGGGCGCAUAGCUCAUCCAUGGAGGCGCGAUGGAAUCUUUUUUGUAAAAGAAGACACCUGAUGAAAGAAGAUGAGGGAAUCGUACGGCUACGCGUUAUUUUAUCGGACGAUGCUGGUACGACCGGCCCAAAGUUGGGCUGGCGCGCCGGCGCCUAGUAGUGCCCGGGUCCCAAAUAAACGGGUUGAGAAAAGAACGUUUGAGUUCAGGUCCCCAAUGAUGAUAUAAAACCGGA